GGGGCGGGCAGCGCGGAGCCCGGCCCGGCCCCGCCGCUCUGCCCCGCCGCAGGGGAGGCGGAGGCGCGGCCGCCCCGCAGUGCAGCCCCGGCCCCAGCCCGCGGCCGGCCGGACCGCGCCUCAGCCCAAGAGCCAAAAUGCCGUUGAUCGGAAGGAGAAAAGAGGAAGAAAUCAGAGUUACCACUAGUGCAGGUGACUGCAGAGGCCUCUGCAUGGCAAGUGAUUUGUGUGGCAUGGCAAGUGAUUUCUGUGGCAUGGUUCAUGGAACUGCUCACUGCCAGAAUGGCUCUGCCACUUUGCCCCACACACCUGUCCUGUUCAAGCACACACAGUGUGUAUUCAAAGGUUUCUGCCUUCUUCAUGCACCCAUACUCUUGGUGCUCAUUUGUGACUGCAGGCUCGGCAGGGUUUGCCAGCAGGCUGCAGGGUGUCCCUAAGGUUCUUCCUUUGACUGACAGACUUCUUUUGUAAAUCGUUCACUACCUCAAACAUGGAGUGGCAUUCAUAUAGCAACAAAGACACAUACCCGGACCAUCAGCUGGACACUACUUACCAGUGCUAGACUGGAGCUGCAACCAGCAACCAGCUCAUCAUCACCUCCCUUGGGGCAGGGAGGAGGUGUCUCCAUGCUUGUCCAGCUCAGCAGAAGCUGGGUGUGUGUCCCCACUCACCGCUCUGCCUGCGCUGCGGCAGGCACAGCAACCUGACGUGCCUUUGCCCCGAUGGAGAACGUGGUCCAUGCCGGCUCCAUGCCAGCCCAUGCCCAGUUUCUGGAAUUGCUGAAGGCCUCGCUAGCUUUCCCGCUGGAAGUGAUUACCUCUCCAUGCACAGCACCGUGGCCAUCCAGGACAUUUUCUCCCGCAUCGCUCAGGGCGCAGGUUGAAGGCGGCGGGACCGCCGGCUGCCGCCGCCUUCAGGAGGCACCUGCGGAGGGUCCUCACCGGAGAAGCGGGCGGCGGGGCCGCCCUGGCUACCCUCAGCGGCUCUUUGGGGGCGGCUCCCGCGGGGCCGGGAACCCCCGGUGGCAGGAGCGGGGCAGGAGCGGCGCUGGGCGAGGCGGGUGCUGUGGGGUAGGGGCAGCCGCCCCGUCGCGCUUGUGCGGGGCUCUCUUGCCCUCUAGCGGGCAAAGCCAGCGGGGCGGCCCCGCCGGGCCCCCCGCCGCCGCCCCGGGCCAGCGCUCCCCGUGCGACGCCAGAGGCCGGGACUCGUUCGGGAGUUCCGGCUCCCGUACCGGGGACAGCCCAGCCACCCCCUCCAGCGAGCGGGUGGACGGGGGAAGGAGGCCGGGGCCGAGCCCAGCCCUGGGCGUUCCGGUCCCCUGGCUGAUGGGCAGUUGUGCUGCGGGGGGUGGCCUGGCUGGGGAGCACAGCAAGAGGAGCACAGCAUGAUGUAUUGCCUGUCCAAGAUGCCACCACCAGCACUCAGGCAGCAGCAGGGAGAGGGACUCAGUGCCACAGCCCCAAGUAGCAUGAAGAGCUGACGAGCGAAACCGUGAUGGGGCGGUCAGAGGCACCAUUUGUCUUUCGUGGUUGCUGACCAUGUCCCCAUUGCUAGGACCAGAGCCAGCCAAGCAAUCGAUGAUCUCCAGGGAGCAGAGGGCUAUAUGCCCUCAGUUGCUGGGCAGACAUCGGGUGCCCACGUUGGCUGGUGCUGAGGAAGGGAGCAGUCCCUGAGGACAUGGGUGCCCCAGGCAUGGAUGGCCCUGCCACACCAGGACCUAGAGGCACCUCUGCAGAGAGCCCACAGCUGAGUGGGGAUGGAAGUGGAGCUGGAGGCUGAGCUUGGGGAAGGGAGGUCGUUGGUGCUCGUGUAGGGUGUUCUGGCGUGCCACAGGAAGACCAUUUUUUUCAGUCUAGCCUGUGUUUACUAAAAUUUCUCAUUUUUUGCUAAUGAAUUAGAAAACAUUCUGGUA